rnacentral:rRNA from 1 species
UCCGGCGGCGAUAGCACGUUAAAUGCACCCGUUCCCAUCGAUCACAGAAGAUAAACAACUUUGAGCAUGUUUAGUACGCGGAUGGGUGACCAUCUGGGGAAUCGCGUACUGAUGGCU